rnacentral:misc_RNA from 1 species
CCCUUGCACGGAGAGCCUUAACACCUACUGCAACCAUGGAGAAAUAAAACCAUGCUGCAACAAAUUGUCUCUUGGAGUCCACAUUUUAUUACUUAAGUUGGGUGAUACGUCUUUAUUAAUCCUCGAGUGUAAAUUACUAAUUUAUAAACAAUGUCUCUUUGAUAAUCAGUGCGUUUUAUGAAUGGCGGAGCAAUAUAUUUACUCACGGCUUUGUGGCUGUGGGCGUUGGGUGUUAUCAAACUCUCCAGAGUGCGGUCUUUUGUUACUACUGCGAACUGAGCAACACACAGCCAUGGACUUUUCGAAUUUCUUUGUGGUGUUGGUCGUCGUAAUCCUUGCGGUCAUUGGACCUCAACCUUGGCCCGCCAAGUCUCUUGACCAAACAAGAAGUGAGACGUACGAAGCACCGAUGCGAGUGACUAAAAAGACGGUUUACCUACAGAGUGGCCGUGCCUACCACCUGUCAUGUCCAGCCCUAUCACAAGGCAAUACCGUGUCAGUCAUCAGCUGGUACCGAGGACAGAGUUGGGAUGUUUCCUCGCGAAAAAACAUUCUCUGGCGCAUUUAUCGCGGUGAUGGCCAGAACUCUACAGACGGAGACCGAUACCAGAUUUCACCAGUCUACGGAAUCAUAAUUGAUCCAGUGUAUGUGAAUUACACUGGUAGGUACUGGUGUAGAGUGAUGUGUUAUAGUUCUACCGCCACAAUCUCCGAAGACUAUCUGGAUGUUUUUGUAUUAGAAAAGACAUUUCCUGAUAACGAGUCGAUCGUUAAUGAGACGGCCACAUCGAUGGACAUCCAGGGUCGUAACACGAUCAACUGCUCACUUCUGCCUCAGCUGCAAACCCCGACAGACUUAAUAACAGUGUACUGGACAAUCAAAACAUCAGAUGGUCCAAGUCUGGACAUCAUUGUCGCCAAGUUUCCUGAUGGAGUGAUCAAGUCAGCUCUGGAAUAUGAUCAGACACAUAGCCUGACUGACAAGGAUGUGUUAAAAGUGCAUAGAUUCUCCAAACGACAAGAGACGUACUGCUGCCAUGUGUUUGAACAAGGAAGGGACCUAAAGACAGCUUGUGUUGAUGUAACUUGGUUGGCUCUGGCGACCGAGAAGUGUCCAGCCAUCGAAGGUUUUGAGCCAACAAAUGAUGACUGUGCUGUUAAUGUGGCACCGCAUGAAAAGUAUCAGAGAUUUGAUUGCUCUAUAAGUGCGGUCUACCCAAAGCCAGCCCUCAACUGGUCCUUCUCAGACUGUAUGGGGACCCCAACAUUCUUCACAAAAUCAAUAACCACCGAGAACCAGACCACUAAAACUUUGAGCGUGAAGUCCUCAAUUUACAUUGUCGAUUUCGAGCCAUCACUAUAUGGUUGUCGUUUCAAGUGUACCGCCGGUGGUCAGGCCAUUACAGAUCAAACAAGCUCAUCUGUUGUUACUUUUAGUGUUACAAGUGAGUCUUUAUUUCUGACAAUGAUCUUUUCCUUAAAGCGCAACUCCAUUGGUGAAAGAAAUAAGAAAUCUGCCACUAGUAUGUGUACUUGGAACUAUGGGUCACAUAAACCCGGAUUUAGCAAUAUUUUUGGUUAAAUAAACUCACUUUUGAGACCCGUUUCUGCCGAGCGCCAUGGCUAGCUUUCGCGAAUGAAGCUUGUCGUCAUCGCUCAUUUACAUCUCAUGAAUACGGCUUUUUCAGAGUUUUGUCCACGUAGCACCGUGGAAACGGUUCUCCGGCUGGUGCAUGUACGCACUGAGCCGGCGCACUCGGGUCAAUGCAAUUACACGUGGUGGUGUAACGCGCGUGUAGCUACAAUUGCAUGCAUACUGUCCUUGAGUCCGAGGCGCAGAGUCUUACUCUUCGAACCAAUCGUGUCAACCAGAACGCGCACCAACGGGAUCCUGAUUGGGCUGACGAUGGGGCCACUGCUGGUGAACGAGGCUGUGAAGGAGAUCAAGAUCGUUUGAUAAUAACGGCUUGGUGGCACAGAAGCUCCGACCCUUUCACCUGUCUCUCCUAAUGAGAAUUCCUGCAUUUGCGACUGCUCUUUUGUGGUAGCAGU